UUUCCCGUUUAUCCUGCGGGAGGUUGCUGCUAUCAGAAUCCGGCUAAGACAUGCAAGUCGAGGGGCCUUCGGGUCACUGGCAGACUGCUCAGCAUCACGUCGAUAAUCUGCCCUUAGGUCAGGGAUAACCUUGGGAAACUGAGGCUAACACCUGGCAGGGAAAAGAUACUGGAAUGUUCUUUUCCUGAAAACUUCGGUGCCUAAGGAUGAGUCGGCGGCCCAUCAGGUUGUUGGCGGUGUAAUGGACCACCAAGCCUAAGACGGGUAGGGGCCAUGAGAGUGGUUGCCCCGAGAAGGACACUGAGAUACUGGUCCUAGCCCUACGGGGUGCAGCAGUUACGAAACCUUUACAAUGCACGCAAGUGUGAUAAGGGGAUUCUGAGUGCUCAUGUAUUGCAUGGGCUUUUGCCAAGAGUAAAAAUCUUGGCGAAUAAGUGGUGGGCAAGACUGGUGCCAGCCGCCGCGGUAACCCCAGCGCCACAAGUGGGAACCACGUUUAUUGGGUCUAAAGCAUCCGUAGCCGGUCAAGUAAAUUCUCUGUGAAAUCGUCGGGCCUAACCCGACGGCGUGCAGGGAACACUGCUUGACUUGAGACCAGGAGAGGUAAGAAGUAUUCCAGGGGGAGCGGUAAAAUGUUAUAAUCCCUGGAGGACUACCGAUGGCGAAGGCAUUUUACCAGAAUGGAUCUGACGGUGAGGGAUGAAAGCCAGGGGAGCGAUCCGGAUUAGAUAUUGAAGACUUCGUUUUCAAAUUUAGUUUCGAAACACGUGAUCGUAAAAAAUAUACUGCGUGAAUCGAGAUAAUUAUCGAAGUUUCUCAACUAAAUACCCGAGUAGUCCUGGCUGUAAACGCUGCGUGCCAGAUGUUGCGCAAUCCACGAGAUUGUGCAGUGUCGAAAUGAAGAUGUUAAGCACGCCACCUGGGAAGUACGGCCGCAAGACUGAAAUUAUCUCGACCAGAGGUCUCGAAAUCUUUGAUCAGUAAUCAGUAGACUUAAAGGAAUUGGCGGGGGCACACUACAAGGGGUGCGGCGUGCGGUUUAAUUGAAUUCAACGCCGGGAAUCUUACCGGGGGCGACGGCAGAAUGAAGGUCAGUCUAAAGGGCUUACCAGACAAGCCGAGAGGAGGUGCAUGGCCGCCGUCAGCUCGUGCUGUGAAGUGUCCUGUUAAGUCAGGCAACGAGCGAGACCUGUAUUCUUAUUUGCUAACGCGCCAGCAAUGGUGAGCGAGCACAAUAAGAAGACUGCCUUGGAAACGAGGAGGAAGGCGCAGGCUACGGUAGGUGGUAUGCCCCGAAUCUCCCGGGCUACACGCGCGCAACAAUGGUAGGUACAAUGGGAUGCAACUCUGAAAAGAGAAGCCAAUCCUCGAAAACCUAUCUUAGUCCAGAUUGAGGUUUGUAACCCAGCCUCAUGACGCCGGAAUCCCUAGUAAUCAGAGUUUAGCAUACUCCGGUGAAUAUGUCCCUGUGCCUUGCACACACCGCCCGUCAAUCCAACCGAGCAGGGUUUAGGUGAGCCGCAUUGAGUAAAUGUGCCGAACCUAAGCUCAGCAAGGUGGGAUAAGUCGUCACAAGGUAUCCGUAGGGGAACCUGCG
rnacentral:rRNA from 1 species